rnacentral:rRNA from 1 species
GACGAACGCUGGCGGCGUGCUUAACACAUGCAAGUCGAACGGAAAGGCCUUUUCGGAGGUACUCGAGUGGCGAACGGGUGAGUAACACGUGGGUGAUCUGCCCUGCACUCUGGGAUAAGCCUGGGAAACUGGGUCUAAUACCGGAUAGGACCGCACUUUAGUGUGUGUGGUGGAAAGUUUUUUCGGUGUAGGAUGAGCCCGCGGCCUAUCAGCUUGUUGGUGGGGUAAUGGCCUACCAAGGCGGCGACGGGUAGCCGGACUGAGAGGUUGGUCGGCCACAUUGGGAUUGAGAUACGGCCCAGACUCCUACGGGAGGCAGCAGUGGGGAAUAUUGCACAAUGGGCGCAAGCCUGAUGCAGCGACGCCGCGUGGGGGAGGACGGCCUUCGGGUUGUAAACUCCUUUCGCCAGGGACGAAGCGUUUUGUGACGGUACCUGGAGAAGAAGCACCGGCUAACUACGUG